CUCUUCAGUCAAUUUUCGUGAAUCUUUUAAAAAAAAUUUGACAAGUCUGGAGUUUUUAGUGACACAUGAUUCUCUGACUUUACAAAGCAUGAACAAAUUUAUAUUAGUGCAACAGUGAUCGCGAUUUUUUGCGUAUUUAAUAAAAUUGUAAUAAUUUAAAAAAUUUCGACAAAUUUAAAAAAUAGUUUGUUGAAUUUUUUGGUGUGCUGUUUACAGUUAAAUAUUUUAUACGCUUCAGCGGUUUUGCACUUUUCUUUUUUUCUAAAAAUCUUUAAAAUAAUAAAUGCUAAAUGUGAGUUUAACACUUGCCGAACUUCCGUAGGAUGUGGAAGAAUUCACACGCGACGAGAGAUAAUUGUGACCUUCUGUGUCAAUUCGUGGAUUUUUAUAAAUCUAGACUCAGUACAUGUUAAAAUUAUAGAAAAAUAUUGAAUAUUAAAUAUUCCAUAUUUCUCUUGAACUGUGUUCUCUUCGAUAAUGUCUGCAGUGAAAUCGAAAUAUAAAAUUAACUAGUUGUGGACCAGGGGUAAGGAGAUAAGACUAAGACACACGCACUUACACAUAAAUUAAUUAAUCUUACGCGAACUAUACAAACCUAGGCAGUGAUACAGAGUUGCGGUUAAUUGCACCUAUUGCCUACUCAAUGAAAUAAAGUUUAGCCCGAUGGUAACGUA